CCUACGGGAGACAGCAGUGGGGAAUAUUGCACAAUGGGGGAAAGCCUGAUGCAGCGACGCCGCGUGAGUGAAGAAGUAAUUCGUUAUGUAAAGCUCUAUUAGCAGGGAAGAAAAUGAUGGUAGUUGAGUAGGAAGCCCCGGCUAAUGACGUGCCAGCAGCCGCGGUAAUACGUAGGGGGCAAGCGUUAUCCGGAUUUACUGGGUGUAAAGGGAGCGUAGACGGCAGUGCAAGUCUGAAGUGAAAGGCGGGGGCUCAACCCCCGGACUGCACUUGAAACUGUACGGCUUGAGUACAGGAGAGGUAGGUGGAAUUCCUAGUGUAGCGGUGAAAUGCGUAGAUAUUAGGAGGAACACCAGUGGCGAAGGCGGCUUGCUGGACUGUAACUGACGUUGAGGCUCGAAAGCGUGGGGAGCAAACAGGAUUAGAUACCCCGGUAGUC
rnacentral:rRNA from 1 species